rnacentral:rRNA from 1 species
CCUACGGGGGGCAGCAGUGAGGAAUAUUGGUCAAUGGACGAGAGUCUGAACCAGCCAAGUAGCGUGAAGGAUGACUGCCCUAUGGGUUGUAAACUUCUUUUAUAUGGGAAUAAAAUGUUCCACGUGUGGGAUAUUGUAUGUACCAUAUGAAUAAGGAUCGGCUAACUCCGUGCCAGCAGCCGCGGUAAUACGGAGGAUCCGAGCGUUAUCCGGUUUUAUUGGGUUUAAAGGGUGCGUAGGUGGAUUGUUAAGUCAGUUGUGAAAGGUCGCGGCUCAACCGUAAAAUUGCAGUUGAAACUGGCAGUCUUGAGUACGGUAGAGGUAGGCGGAAUGCGUGGUGUAGCGGUGAAAUGCUUAGAUAUCACGAAGAACUCCGAUUGCGAAGGCAGCUCACUGGACUGCAACUGACGCUGAGGCUCGAAAGUGUGGGUAUCAAACAGGAUUAGAUACCCCAGUAGUC